UACGAAGGGUGCAAGCGUUACUCGGAAUUACUGGGCGUAAAGCGUGCGUAGGUGGUUUGUUAAGUCUGUUGUGAAAGCCCCGGGCUCAACCUGGGAAUGGCAAUGGAUACUGGCAGGCUAGAGUGCGGUAGAGGGUAGUGGAAUUCCCGGUGUAGCGGUGAAAUGCGUAGAGAUCGGGAGGAACACCAGUGGCGAAGGCGGCUACCUGGACCAGCACUGACACUGAGGCACGAAGGCGUGGGGAGCAAACAGG
rnacentral:rRNA from 1 species